rnacentral:rRNA from 1 species
GGAAUUUUGCGCAAUGGGGGGAACCCUGACGCAGCAACGCCGCGUGACCGAUGAAGCCCUUCGGGGUGUAAAGGUCUGUCAGUGGGGACGAAAUCUGACGGUACCCACAGAGGAAGCAUCGGCUAACUCCGUGCCAGCAGCCGCGGUAAUACGGGGGAUGCGAGCGUUGUCCGGAAUCAUUGGGCGUAAAGAGUUCGUAGGUGGCACGUUAAGUCUGGUGUUAAAUGCAGAGGCUCAACUUCUGUUUGGCACUGGAUACUGGCGAGCUUGAAUGCGGUAGAGGUAAAGGGAAUUCCUGGUGUAGCGGUGAAAUGCGUAGAUAUCAGGAGGAACAUCGGUGGCGUAAGCGCUUUACUGGGCCGUAAUUGACACUGAGGAACGAAAGCCAGGGUAGCAAAUG